rnacentral:rRNA from 1 species
AUUGAACGCUGGCGGCAUGCUUUACACAUGCAAGUCGAACGGUAACAGGCCGCAAGGUGCUGACGAGUGGCGAACGGGUGAGUAAUGCAUCGGAACGUGCCCAGUCGUGGGGGAUAACUACUCGAAAGAGUAGCUAAUACCGCAUACGAUCUAUGGAUGAAAGCGGGGGACCGUAAGGCCUCGCGCGAUUGGAGCGGCCGAUGUCAGAUUAGGUAGUUGGUGGGGUAAAGGCUCACCAAGCCAACGAUCUGUAGCUGGUCUGAGAGGACGACCCGCCACACUGGGACUGAGACACGGCCCAGACUCCUACGGGAGGCAGCAGUGGGGAAUUUUGGACAAUGGGCGCAAGCCUGAUCCAGCAAUGCCGCGUGCAGGAAGAAGGCCUUCGGGUUGUAAACUGCUUUUGUACGGAACGAAACGGCUCUGGUUAAUACCCGGGGCUAAUGACGGUACCGUAAGAAUAAGCACCGGCUAACUACGUG